rnacentral:rRNA from 1 species
GAUGAACGCUGGCGGCGUGCCUAAUACAUGCAAGUCGAGCGAACAGACGAGGAGCUUGCUCCUUUGACGUUAGCGGCGGACGGGUGUGUCACACGUGGAUAACCUACCUAUAAGACUGGGAAAACCUCGGGAAACCGGAGCUUAUACCGGAUGAUAUAUUGAACCGCAUGGUUCAAUAGUGAAAGACGGCUUUGCUGUCACUUAUAGAUGGAUCCCGGCCGCAUUAGCUAGUUGGUAAGGUAACGGCUUACCAAGGGUACGAUGCGUGGCCGACCUGAUAGGCGGAUCGGCCACCCUGGAACUGGGACACGGUCCAGGCGACUGCGGGAGGCAGCAGUAGGGAAUCUGCCGCAGUGGGCGAAAACUUUGCGGAGCAGCGCCGCGUGUGUGGUGAAGGUCUUCGGAUCGUAAAGCUCUGUUAUUAGUGAAGAACAGAUUUGUAAGUAACCAUGCACGUCUCGACGGUACCUAAUCAGAAAGCCACGGCUAACUACGUG